GCCUCUGUAGCUCAAUGGAAGAGCAGUUCCGUCCUAAGGAAAGGGUUGGGGGUUCGAGUCCCUCCAGGGGCA
rfam:Agromyces sp. Leaf222 contig_1, whole genome shotgun sequence.